GUGGGCGCGGCUGGCUGGGCCCGGAGUCGGGGAGAGAGUCGGCCUGAGCCCCGCAGGUUCCGGCGCCCUGACCCACGCUGCCCUCGGUCACUCUCCUGAGUGACACCGCCGUGGCAUCUGAGGAGCUGUCGUCCGUCCUGGGCGGCUGGAAGCGGUGGCUGCCUCCACGUUUUAAGAGUGAUCUGAAAGUUAGACUUAUGGGAACUUCAACUUCUGGAAAACUGCCCUGUAAAGGAAUCUCUGUAGAAGCUGAAAUCCAUCAGUCACCAUUCUUCAAAAUGCAAUGGAAUGUAUCAAGGACUGUACUCCAGGUGGCACAUAGGACAUGCACGGAACCACAUAAAGCCGGUCUUUUUGGACACUGUCAAAACAUAAAGGGACCAUUACUUUUGUAUAAAACUGAAUCCAGAGUAGUUUUGGUACAGGGCCCUCAAACACAAUGGCUGCACUUACCUGCUGCCCAGUGUGUUGCAAAGGAAAGGAAGCCAUUUGAUGCUCAUCCACCUCAACCGGGGAUCCUGCACCAUAAACAGUGGGAACAAGAUAUUUUAUCCAAGAGGGUUAUAUCAUCCAAUGCCACAUCCCCCAAAAAGGAAGAACCUGAUCCUUUACAAGACAAAUCUAUUAGUCUUUACCAACGAUUUAAGAAAACAUUUAGACAAUAUGGAAAAGUUUUGAUUCCAGUGCACCUAAUAACUUCUUGUGUUUGGUUUGGAACAUUUUAUUAUGCAGCCAUAAAAGGAGUGAAUGUCGUUCCUUUUCUAGAACUUAUUGGGUUACCUGACAGCAUAGUAAACAUUCUGAAAAAUUCUCAGAGUGGAAAUGCACUAACAGCAUAUGCCUUGUUUAAGAUCGCAACCCCUGCCCGGUAUACGGUGACUUUGGGAGGAACCUCCUUCACUGUGAAGUAUUUGCGCAGUCGUGGCUACAUGUCGACACCGCCUCCUGUUAAGGACUAUCUACAGGACAGGAUGGAAGAGACAAAGGAGCUUCUCACAGAGAAAAUGGAAGAAACGAAGGAUAGACUCACUGAAAAAUUACAAGAAACCAAAGAAAAAGUUUCUUUUAAGAAAAAAGUGGAAUAGGGUGCCUUAUAUAACAGGUUAUAGACAGUUCCUGCACUCUAACCCUUCGGAGACUGUGGACAAAGAUACAUGGCUCCUGAUUAUUUUUUGGGCAUCAAAGCGUCCUGGCCUAGCUGCCGAAGUAGCACACGAGUGUUCAGAUAGCACGGUGUGGGCCCCUCUGCCGCCUUGGAAUUUAACAGCUGAACUAGAAACUCUGUAGAACCAGAGGUGGGUACUUGUAAUUUUUCAUUCUGCAUAUAUGAACUUUGUUUGGUCUCUAUUAGUCCAUCUGUAUGUUAUGUAGUAUCAGGUUAGUAUUAAAUGGGAUUUCAAAAGAGUCUGCCUCAUGUACCUGAAGGUACAAUAGAGUCAAGACUUCAUUCUUCUUCCUUAAAGACUUGAAUGGUCUAGGUGACCCACUCCUCCCAGAAUUUAUCUUCAGCCGUGAGUUUUAGCCUUGAUUCUUAGAAGAUCUUUCUCCUGCACUUGGAGCUUGUAACUUGUAUUUGAGAAAUGCUGAGUCAGACCAAUUGGAUAUAUUUUUCCUCCUCUUUUUCCUUUGUGACUUCUGUGUCGAGUUGGUUCAUGUCAGCCAGUCAAAACAACCAUUUGAUUGUCUUGCUUCUUCAGGGUGAGGCUUUGAAAAUCAAGCUGUAUUCUUCCCUGUGCAUCAGUGACAGUCACCCACAGUAAUAAUCACAGAUCAUAAUUAUCUUGUGGCAAUUAUCUGGCUAUUUUAAUAAGAAUGAUCUUCUUAGUAGAAAGAAUGCAUCUUGAUUUCAGAAACCUUCAGGGCAGAAUCUAACAUUCUAACAUUAAAACUAUUCUUUAUUCUGAUGACUUAAUUGGACAGUCAGUGUGGGGAAGUACACCAGCAGCCCCAGAGUCAUCCUCAGAACACGGGGCUUUUCUUCGCAGAUCAGAGUGCUUGUGGAGAGUAAGGAGAGAGAGAAAGCAAUUUCCACAUUUUUGUUUUCCCUGGGACAACGUGGUCCAUGAGAGCGGAACUCAUAGGAUAGUGAGAUGUUCUGCAUGCUGCCAUUCUUCCUGAAAGUGAGGAUUGCAUAGAACAUUUCUUCCCUCUCCCUCCCUUUGUCCUCCUUUUUCUGUUUUGAACUUUGACCAAUUUAAAUGUUAGAAAACUCGCUUUCAAGUGAGAAAGGAAAAGGCAUGCUUGCACAUGAGCAGCCUCACCUUCCAGGGCGUGGCCUGCCAGUCCUCCGUCUCCAUCUCUGGGGGCAGAUCCACAUGGCCCUUGCUCAGUCAGAGGGGGACCGUCAAAUACCUUUUACUCCAUUGUGAGAAUCCAUAAAGGUUACUCUAAGCACGUGACAUAGGAAAUAAGGGCAAUUCUGUAUCUUCCCUUAUGUCAAUUAGUUGUUUUAACUCCUUAAAUCUAAAUUAGAUUUUUUUUUUUAAAGAACUCAUAGCAUUUUCUCUAUAUACACAAAUAUUUCAGCUGUUUCCUUCUAUGCGCUUCUAAGUGCUAGAACUGAGGGAUUCUCUAAUGAUUGAAGCAUAUGUUUUAUUGAAUUUGAGUCAGUAUUUUCUUUGGACAACUUUAUAUGGUGACUUAAUUGUCACUGUCAUUUUACUUCUCUAAGAACAGUGGCUACUUUGAUCCUCUCUUAUGCUAAGGGUGCCAAAAGCGAGGUGUGUGAAGUCGUCACACACGCCCUGGCCGCCCUCAGCCGUGUCUGAGAUAGAGUCACGGGCUCAGUCGCCAUGGUCCUCCAUCAGCAUGCACUUUUUAUUCCCCUAGUGAGGAAGAUGCAGGAUAUGGUGGGUUGUAAUUUGCAUUUCUCACUUCUUUUGGUUGAGGAAAAAAAGACAAGUCUUAGUUUUCCCAAAAAGUUGGAAAUAUUAUCACGUUUGUCCACAAAAACCUCAACUUUUGUUGAGAAGUCUAAACCAUUUAAUAACUGCAUUAUUUUGGAAGCAUUUUAAAUUAAUAGUUUUCUGAGUCAAAAACCCCAGGCUUAUAGAGAAUUUUUAUAGAAUUUUGCCUUUAGUCUGUCACUUUAGAACGUUGAGGCCAAUAAUUUUCAUUGAAGAAAGAAAGAGGCCCAGGAGAGCUGGGUCUGAAGUUGGGAUCUCAGCCUCCAGGUGGGUAUUGUUCCUCAUGCCAGCCAUUGAGAUAGUCGGUCCAUGCUUUGGGACUUUUGAAAUUCCUUGUGUGUUUGAGCUAAAGCCUAUUUAUUAAUGUUUCUACCCUCUCUUCUUCUGCUAGUGCCUUCCACCUUCUUUCAGCUUUUAAUUUCAUAAUUUUUCUUUAAUUCUUUUAGACUCUUACCAUUUGCAUCUCUUUCUUUAGAGGGCUGGAAAGGGAGAGAGUGGCUGUUCUGUCUCUUGUUGAUGGUUACAGAAAGGAAACGUUCGUUCGUGUCUUGUGCUCCAGCUUCGUUUUCCUCUCAGAUUGUGUGAGGGGAAGGUUUGCCGCUGGCCAGUUCAGUUCUGGCAUCUUGUGACUAUCUAGGUUGACCUUGGCAAUGCAGUUAGGAGCUAUUUUCAAACACCUAAAUCCACACUUGAGAGCAAGUAAUCAAAACUUUGGUGAUGAGAUGUAGUCUUUAUACAUCUGUACAUGUUUAAUCUAUCAUAUAUCCAAAGAGGAUUUGACCUCAGGAAAUACCCCAGUGCCCUCUUGGUAAGAAAAAGUGAGUUUGUUUUUUCCUCUUGCCCCUGUGUGCAGGUCAUGCUGGGGGGCAUGAUGUCUAGUCUGUGUUUGUGGCAUACUUGGAGCCAGCUCAGGUUGGAAUUUUCCGUUUACUUGGGGCCAAUCAUUGAAACAUCUGAAGUGAUCAGAAGCUGGCAUUUGUGGAAAGUUUUAGCACUAAGAAGUUCAGUAUAUCCCUGAUUAAGAACUAUUAGGUUUCACCAAAGGACAGAGCUUGGCCUCUGAAGCCCAUGAAAAUGACCAGCCGUAUACCUUGGCUCUUCAUACCCGUGUGCGCAGCUCUGUGAUCAUGAAGUAUUGCAGAGAAACCUGUGUUCUCAGUGUCAGCCUGCCAGGCCCUUUGCUCUGUGCAGGGAGACUGUCUCUUCUGGACCCAAUAGGCUAAAACUUGCCGGCUGCAUUUGCCUUGUGUCCCUCACCACUCGCGUGUGGGCAGCAUGCGUGCAUGUGGAACAGCUGAACAGCAAGAGGGGAAGCAGCAGAUUGCUGCCGUCGUGGCAGUGGCCCUCUGUCUGCGUGCAGAGGGUGCCUGGCUCGUAGCUUCCAGCCUCUCCGGGGCUCUACUUUAGCUGUGCUGAGUGGAGACACUGAGAGGGAAGCCGCGCAGAUGGUGAAAGAUGUGUCAGAGUGAGCCGGAGAACACUUGCUUUCCUCUGAGGUUUAAAGAAGGUUGAUGGGAAGGCGAAAGGCUGAGUGCUUGUGGGUAGUAUUCCAGAAGGCAGCAAGGCGCCCAUGUCAGCAAAGAGAAACGAGGAACAUGGCCUGGGCUCUGGAUGCAAAAAGGCAGAGGUGCCUAAGUGCAGAGCCCGGCCCCUCGAGCCUGAGGCCCAUCCCAGGUCUACUUCAGGCCUAACCUGGGAAGUGGAGGGGAGCUGAUGACAGUGCUCAGGGCAGCGUUAGCUACCCCCCAACCCCUUCACGGAAGGAAAGCCAGAGAAGGGAAAAAAUGGGUGGGAGAGGUGACAAGCAGGGAAAUUGUUGUUUUUUUUUUUAACUAUUUUCCCUUUAGAUUUUCACAUUUUAUUACUGAGGCCAUAAGACUCGUCCUCCCCCACAGUGUGGUUCAUUAGCCAAAAAUACCUGUAUCCCCCUAGAAUGAUGGGGAAAGAAACAGACGUCGUUUACUUAAAACCUGUGGGGAGGAGGUGUCAUCUGUCCCUGGCGUUGACUGCUCCCCGAUGUGGUCUGAUUGCUGGAGCACCAUGUCAGUGCUGCGUCCUUCACUGGCACGACCCUGCAGCAGCUGGUGCAGACAGCAUUCCAGGGCAGAGUGCUGUGUACAAAUCUGUAGUAAUUGGGCAAAAUGUUUUUAAAAUUAAAUCUAGAAGAUGAAAGUCACAGUAGUCGCAGCUCCCUUUGUUGAGGGCCCUGCGUGGCGAGCACACUCUCUCCCUCAGUGUUCCCAUCCGUGUUCCUGCUGUACAGGUGACACUGAGAGACAACCACUCAGGCCUGUAGGCUCGAAAGCCUGUGCUGCCCUUUAAGGUAAGUCGGGAAUCUCAGAGACGUGGGGCAAAGGCCAAAUCACCUGAGUCCCAGGCCAAAGUCGGGAGUGACAGACGGAGCCACCACUUAGGCAGCAGCUCAGGUUGGAGAAGAGGUGAGGGGUGGGGUCGCCUGCUGGCCGCCACGGGAGAGAAGGAUGUGUGUGCUUUGGCUUCAGAGCUCGUGUCCUCUGUUGGCUAGUGCGGGUUGUAACACAUUUUGUGCUUACAGAUGCCUGGUGACAGUAGCGACAGUACAACUCUAGGAAUGCAAAUAGCUUUGUAAACAGGUCAAGUUACACAGAAGCUACUAUAUACAACUGUUUGUAAAUAUACAUAAAUGCUUACUGGGGAGGCCGUUUGAAAGUCUGCACUUUAGUCACAACCAUGCUAUGUUCAAAUGAUUAAAACUGUAGCUUUUGCACUUCUAAUUUUUUUAAAAAGUGAGAGUGUAAAGUGGGUGAAUGAGGUUUGCAUUAUUAGGGCAAAAGCCAAAGUCUAGACAGAAACAUGGCAUUAAAACAAAGAACUUUGCAAAUGCAAAGUUUUUACUUUAUGGCUGCUGUUUCAAAAUGUGCAUUUUAAUUACAAUCCAUUUAAAGCAAACAGAUCAAAACAGCAUAAUGAAAGAAAUCUAAUUAUGAUGUUCUGAGUAACAGACUCAUUAUAAGCUGUUGUAUGCAAGUAUCAUCACAGAGAGUCAGAAAUACAGUCUUUUGUUCCAGCGCUCACUGUAUGGGAUCUCUGGAAGAUUCUGGAGCAACUUCGAAGCCUGCCCUGCAUUUCUGAAUGUUCCCCUGAGGGUGCAGGGAGACGGCAUUGAUGCGGGCGAUUCCUAGUUGAUGAGCUUAGCAGGUGGCAGCUCUGCUCUUUCACAAACAAGCUGGUUGACAGAAAAAGUUGGUCAAAGAAAGCCAGAGGCUGGAGGGUUUGGGGUGCAGAGCGGCCUGUUUCGGCAGCACUGCAGUGCAGCGCAGGAUUGCUGCAGCCCCAGGCUGGGGCGUAAGGAGGCCCAGGCAGAAUCGGGGACCGUUGUCGAGGAGAGAGGUGCUAGGCUCCUUUUCUUACCGGGACUGAGCAUAAGCCCAUCUGGGAAAACAGUGGGUCCAGAGCUCGGCGUCCCUCUGCCUGGCUCUCCUGGCUGACAGUGCCUGGCACUUUCCAGGAUGCUCUUGAGUGUGGUGUGCACUUUUGCAGAGGCGUGGGAGCGCCACUCUGAUGCUUUUUGGCCACCAUCAUUUCAGCUCCAGCUGGGAUGGACAGUUCCUGUGUGCAUCAGCAGCUUCCAGGCAUUGGUUGUCUGUGUUUUUCUGCCUCAGGGCUUCUGAAGUCUUUAGAGCUUGCUCAGUCCACAGUCAGAGCGGCUCUGGGAAGAUAAUCCCAAAGGUCAACGCUCAACAGUGGAGAUGGGUAUCCCUGCCUCUGUCCUUUAAAGGUGCAGCCUGUGUAGUUUCUGAGCCCUUUUUGCUUAGAGUGGAAACCAUUGCGAGCAAUUCACUGUCUCCUCUCCCCCCUCCCUCAUUCACCUGCUUCCACCUCUGGGAACAGCUCCCAGAUAAGCUACCUGCAUCUGGAUCCUUGACUCCGCCUUUACUUCCAGGGGACCCCACACCAGCAGCUACCAGAUGACGCUUGGUAUAGACUCCUGGCAGAGGGGGAGGGAGGGGCGCUGUUGCUCUGUUGGGACAAGCUGACCCUAGGGUUUCCUGAAUCUGAUCAUCAGGUAGGAAUCUCAAGCCCUGAGUCCCCUGUUUGUUUCUGUGCAGAACUUUCUCUGUGAUUUCAAUUUACACUAGUCUUAGCUUUACUCAGGGAUAGCCAGUUUGGAGAAUAUUCUUUAAUAUUUCUCUGCUGAAUAUGAGAUUAGAGUCUUUAUUCCUGAGCAUGGUGUGGUUUAUCAGUGACUAUUUGCUGUUUUAAAGGAAAGACAUCCUUUUCUUAUAGCUGUUUUACUCCUUAUAGCUUUCUAAUCCCCUUCCCAAAAUAAUCUUAAAGAAAUUAAUUCAGAAUUUAAAAUGGCUGUUAUAAUUAUAGUUUUGGUCCCAUACAAUUAUUUAAAUGGUAUUUUUAAGAUUUCAGUUUCUAAUUUCCAAAGUUGAUUACUAACAUAUAGAAAAUGCAAAAAUAGAUUGUAUUUCCUGCAACCAAGCUAAACUUACUCUAGUAGUUUGGUAGAUUGCGUAAGGUUGUGUACCUACACAAUCCUGUCCUCUGUGAACCCACAUGCUUAUUUAGAGCUUAGAGAUGGCAUUAUUCUAAUCUCUCAGUGAAGGAAGUUGAGUCCUUUUGCUAUGUUAUCAUGUACUGAAAACUUCCGGUCCGAGGGCCUUGCCUCUGAGGGCCUCUGUCUGAUGCUGAAUCGCCUGUUAGAAAUCUUGGUCAUGUUUUGGCUGAGUCAGCUUCGGUUCUUCUGUGACAGCCACCCAGAAACUUAAAGAGGAUAACAGACUCCUCUGGCACCUCUGCUCAGGUGAGGCAGUCUUCAGGGCUGGUCCCGGGCUGAGGGCUGAGGCCGGCCCUGUGUGUUCUCUGUGGGAUGCAGAGUGGAGAAAAGAUGUAUGAUAGGAUCUGACCAAGAGUUGUUUAUAGCAGAAUGUAAUGAUUUUUGAAAAAUCAGAGUGAAUAAAAGCUGAAUGGAAAGGUUAGUUAGGGAAACAAAAGAACCAUUUCUUUGAGAUGAAUUUUAAAACCUGCAGUUUUUUUCCCACAUACGUGCUUUGUUUUUGAAAGGGUAAAAAAAAAAACACACACACCAGGAGACACAUGUCUAUCACUGAUUAUUUUUAAUGAUUUUUAUGCUAUGGUUUGACCACAGCAUUAAGAACAAGCAGAAAAAGCUGAUUUCAUCACUAACAAACAGCACUUAGAGCGACAUCUUCCUUUAAAAGUAUUGCAGUUAGGACCGUAGGUCUAAGCACUACACCACCAUUGCUCAGUAAGAGAGGCAGGUGCACAACAGUUGGAAACCUUUUCUGUAUAUAACUGGGAAUUAUGUUGAAAAGUAAGCACAAAUGCCUGUUAAAAAAAGACUUAAAUGACUUGUGAUUAUUGUAGCUCAUAUAAACAACUAUUGAAAAGUUCAAAUACAGUUGUACUGUAGUAGGCUGCUUUAUAAUAAAAUUUAGAUGAACUAA